UUUGGGCCAUUGUGUGAAAGCAAUAGAAAAAAAUAUCGGGCAUUUUUAUCUGCAGUGACUAACCACCACAUUCAGUUAGCUAGAAUUGUGACGUUUGAUCUGGGAGGACCUACAGAUCAUCUUCGAAGAAGAAAUAGAAAAGUAAUGAACCAGGCAAGGGCCACUGCUAGUUGUUGAUACAUGACAUUCCUUUUCAUUCUCGGUGUUCUUUAUCAAUCUAUGCCUGGGCAGCUCCAUGAAUCUCUUUGUUCUGAGUGACAUUGUGAUGAUGACCACCAAGAAAAAGAAAUUCUGUCACCUCUGGACAAUGUCUCCCAAUGUGACUCUAUCUAAGAUAGUUUCAUGUUUCAUCUUGUGUAACUUAGAAUAUACAGAAUAAUGACAAUGAUGAGGACAAUGAGCUAUAAACGAAUUUCCAUUGUAUUAAUCAAAAGCAACACAUGCAUUUGAUAAACGACGUUUCUAUGUAUAUAUUCAAGAGCGUGUGACCUAUCAUACAUUCGUUCACCCUACAAAAAUAUUUGCACAUAAGAAUUUCCAAAUUCUCUGUAGUCAAUGCGCUUAUCUACAGUUGUCUGAAACUCACAAGUUGAAGACUAUUUGCUCUAAAAUUUUCAAGAUCACUAUCAAUCAGAUGAGAAAAAAUGCAGCCUAAAGGGAUCCCUGAUUACUUAAAUGUCAGAAACUGAACAAUAAAAAUGAAAAGUGUGAAUAAAAAAUGUAUUAUUUGAUUUGCCUUCAUUGAUAUCCAUACAUUGAGACAAAUAGAAAAACCCUAAAAGGAUGGAAAAUUAUUUGUUUGUUUUUAGGUUAACAUUUCCUGGAACAUACAGAUUUUAUUUUUUCAGAUGAGAGCCCUCUAUCUUGCUUUGAUAUAAAGAAACAUCAGAAAAUGUGCUGCUAUGAAUAAUAUUUGUAAUUUUAAUAAUGUCCUAUGCUAAUUACUUAAACUUGUGAUUUAUUAUAAAAAUUGCUAAGGUAGAUAAUUGGAACCAAAACAAACAAACAAAAGUCACAAUGGCAAGAACAAUAUCAACAAAACCAAGUUUUCAUAUACAUUUCCAGCAAAGGUGAGAGAAUGAGAAUUACAGAGUACAUUUUCAAGUUAUAUUAUUGAAUCUUUAAUUUUUUUGUUAUUUAAGGAGGAAAUGUUUCCACUCCAAAAAAAGCUUUAUGGUCAGAUACAAAACUUGAAGCCUAGAAAAUUUUGCUUGGAGGUAGCUGUUGAUAUUGAAUCACUUCAUGGCUUAUAGUUAAGGAGCAUUUAUCUAAUGUUGAAUAGAGAUCGCUAAAAAGUGAUCUCUAGUUAAUAAGCUUUUACAAUUGAGGGUAAUUUUUGUCCCCCACUGAGAAAUAGCUGGAUUUCAUUCUAUGCUAAUGAAACUGUUUUUCAGUGGCGCAUACAGUGAUUUUCAUAAUUCUAGUCCUGGCUGGGAUGUUGGGAAAAUGGAACAUAGCCAGAAUAAUUAAAAUGGGAUUUAAGGCCAUAUUUUGGAAAGCUUCUAUUUUUCAGGAUGGUUGUUUGCGACUGCAGUUAUUUCUGAAGUCUCAAACAUUUCAGACCUGAGAAUAAAUUUAGUGUUGAGGAAAGUUGUAAGCUUUGACUCAGAUUUCAGCUCUGCUACUGCUGGCUCUGUGGUCUUGACCAAUUUGCUUAAUAGUGUGAUAUUUACCUUGCAGGGUUGUUAAAAAACUUCUAUAUCAUAUUUAAAGUAGUUGUCAUGCUAUAUUUAAUAUAUCAUAGUUACUAUUCUUAUUAUCAUUAAUAUUGUUACCAGAAUAAUUCGCAGAGUGAUUAUGAUUACGACUGUAGUAUUUAGCAGUUGAUCCUUUAAAAUAUACUGAAAGUAAACUCCUUUCCUAGGAAAUUGUCAGGUUAAAUAUAUCCAAUAUAAAUAAACAAAUGGAGCUUCAAACACAUUAUAAGAUGAACUGCUGAGUACAAAAUUUGGAAAUGCUCAAUCUAGUAAGCUGCCUCAAUUUCUCAAAUAUGACAGAACACAUGAAAUUCUGGAGGGACCCAGAUUGUCACAUACAUGAAUUAUUUCGUCACUUUUAGGACCUACCCUUUUAAAAAUGAAUAGUGCCCCUUUGGCAAUUGUAUACAAUGUUAUAAAAUGUCUGUACAUCCCUGAAUGCUCCAACAUCUCAGCAGACUUUUCUUAGUAUUGCCUAGACUCCAAUAUUGAUUUUUCCAAGUAUAGUCCAACCACAAUAUCUUUUCCACGAGAAAGUAAUUUGUUUUAUACUAGGAAAAGAGCAGAGUGGAUAAAGGAGAAAGGAAAUCCAUCUUAAACUUUGGAUGGUAAAAGCAAAAGAGAGAAGGAAAAGCUUAGGGCACAGAUUAACUUGGAUGUGGUAAGUGUAGGUCUCUCCACAAGAUGGCACUCGUUCUCCCUCCUUUAUUUAUUUAUUUUUUUCAGUUGACAAAAAUAAAUUUGUCACUUAUUUUUCUACAGUUAUAGAGCAAAUAUAUUGUUGGUUUGUGUAUCAAAUGCAGUUUGUUUCAAGUAUCUUAAAAUCAUCCUGUGUUUCUUAUACUCAGCAAUAAAAAGUAUAAUUUUACCUCCUCUAAGGCUGUGUUUGGAUGUGAAUACACUCACUACUAAUUCUUAGGAGUGCAUACUUACCCCCACUCCCACUCCCAUGUGUAACAACAUUUAUAUUAACCUUCUAAAAAAUUUUCUGCUAAAAUCUCUGCGGCGUAUAAACUUUUAAAAACACCACCGAAAAAAUCAAAAGGCACAAACUUCCAGUUAUAAUAUAAAUAAAUACUAGAGAUGUAAUGAACAAUGAUAAGUAUAAUUAACUCCCCUGAAUGUUGUAUAUGAAAGUUGUUAAGGGAGUAAAUCAUAAGAGUUUUCAUCACAAGGAAAAUUUUUUUCUAUUUCUUUACUUCUGUAUCUAUAUGAAGUAAUAGUUGUGCACCAAAUUUAUUGUGAUAAUUAUUUCAGGAUGUAUGUAAUCCAAAUCAAUGUUAUACACCUUAAGCUUAUGUUAUUGAGUGCUGUGUCUCAAUUUUAUCUCAACAAAACUGGAAGAAAAAAAUAAAACAUAUUUGAAGACUAAAAAGAACAAGAGUGACCCCCUUUUUGUUUGUAUUAUCAUUUAAAAUUUUAAGUGGAUGUACUUUUCCACUUGUAAGAUAAUCUCUGAUAUUUCCCUCUGACCAUGAGUCAGAAGCAUAUUUACCUCCAAUGAGCCUUGGGUCUCCUUAAGCUUUUUAGUGAUGGGAAAUGUCACAACUAUAUUCUUGUCACUUGAAGUUAACUUCAGCCGGAGUCUGCAAUCAUUUAAAUGAUUCAUUAAAUGAUUUUUAAGAUCAAAUGCAAAGUAAUAUAUGUUACUUCUUAGAACAUUAAAGAAAAAAGAUAUGCUGCCAGUUUUAUUAAAAAUAGGCUUUGAAUGAUAAAUGGUAAGUAAAUAAAGGGAAUUUAAUUGAAAAUGUCAUGCUUCUAUCUUUAGCACUGGCAUCAGAUUUUCUUUUAGGAGAUUUAGAAGGUAUGGCAUGUAUUGUCUGGAUUUCUUUUCUUUUUCUUUUCUUUUCUUUUCUUUUCUUUUCUUUUCUUUUCUUUUCUUUUCUUUUCUUUUCUUUUCUUCUUUGGUCAACUUUAGAGUAAGGUUUCUAUAAGACAGACUGUGAAGGUUAUAGUAAAUUCUUCCAUGCCUUGAUCAUAACAACUAUUAUUAUGAAGUCUUUGCCUCACCUUUUAGGACACCGACCUUGUUGGAUGCUGAUAUUGCAGAACGCUUGCUACCACAUAGCAAAAGUCACACUUUGGAAGAAAGAGGCAGAAAAAUCCCAGGAGGAUUCUAAGAAGACAAACAUAUUACAGAGAGAAAACUAAAACUUAUGUCAGAAUUCAUAGGAAAACAAAGCUAAAGUUUGAAUGAUUUCAAUAAAAAUAGUAGAUUCUGCUAUAACUUGUUAUAUAGGCUAGACACUAAACUAAGCCCUUACUCUUUAUUAGAUCCUAGAAUGACCAAAACCAUUGUCCUCUUUGUUAACAGACAGGAUAACUGAGAACCAGAAAGAUUAAAUGGCUUGGAUUUGAAGGUAGGAUUUAAAUCCAGUUCUGACUUUUCCAAGGCCUUGGACUUUAGCUAUUUCACAUCCCUGGCUCACUGACUUAUGGAACGUAAAAUGCUAGAAUUUGCCUGUGUAAGUGUAGAUCGUUGUUUCACUCUUUCAAAUUUUAAGGGAAAGUGGGCUUUUAAUGAACACAGUAGAUAUUUCAAUUUGAUGCAUGGAGGAAGUUCUCAAUCCUCAGGGUUUGGAAACAGUGAAUGAAGUAAAAAAGGGGCUGUGCAGAUUCUGAAUUAAAAUUCUUCAAGCAAGUGGUCACAACUGCUUUCCUAGUUGUACAGGUAAAUCUUCUAAAGAAUAUACAGAACUGCAUAGGUAUCUCCUUUAGAGGGUUUUUUUUUUAAAUAAUUUUAAACACCUUUAUGUGAAAUAUAUAUCCUAAUAUUGAACUCAAUCUUCAGCAUUCCUCCUUCACAUCUCACCUCUGCCGUAUAAAGCCCUAGACCCUUGGAAUACAUGGACUGUUACUCAACCAUUAAAAAAAGAAUGAAAUAAUGCCAUUUGCAGCAACAUGCAUGGACCUAGAGAUAUAUUAAGUGAAGUAAGUCAGACAAAGACAAAUAUCAUAUAUCACUUAUACGUGUAAACUAAAAGUGAUAGAAAUAAACUUAUUUACAAAAUAAAGUAGGCUCACAGGCAUGGAAAACAGACUAUGGUUUCCAAAGGGGAUAAUGGAGGGGAAUUAAAAGUUUGGGAUUAAUGUAUGCAUCUGCUGUAUAUAUAAUAGGUAAACAACAAAGACCUACUUUAUAGCACAGCAAAAUAUACUAAUAUGAUAACCCAUAAUGGAAAAGAAUCUGGAAAAGAAUAUAUAUAUGUAAUUGCCAAGACAUAUCAGCAGGAUGGGGCUGAAGAACAGGUGCUGUGAAACUUAAGGAAAAAAGUUAACUUAAGACACAGAGACAUUUAUCUUAAGUAAAGGUGGGAACCAGGGGACUCAAGGUCUCAGGGACCAAGAGCACCACCUCAAGAAACCACACUGCUUUUAUUGUGCUCUUUAGGAUUACGACAAGUGAGGAGGGGGCUAUAGAUGGAGGAUAUAGGGGUUUUUUUUUUUAUUAUUUAAGUUCUAUUUAUUAUUUUAAAAGUCACUUAGCUGGUAGAUGGUUAAGCUUUUACUCUGACCUUUAGGUAUUUAACAAUCAUUAGCAUUUGAGUUAGCUAUCUAUGCAUAGCAUUUCAGAGAAUCCUUACUGUGCUUCCACAAACAGCCUGCCUAGGUUUUCACCUUGGUUCUCUUUGCUAAUGCAUAUUCUGCUAACGACCGCUCAUAAACCACUUGGCCAUGAGGUUCCUCUUUCUCUUAUUCUUUUGAGGACAUAUGGUGCUUGUGCAAAUGGCGUGCCCAUCUGCACAGGUCCAGCGUGCCUAGACCAACGCAUUAUGUCCUCAUUCAGCUGACCCUAUGAAUAGCUUAUGCCUUUAGGUCUUUGUUCUUAAGCUUAAGUCAUUCACCAGCACUGCGACUGUUUUUCAAGCAGGAAGAUGGGGUGAAGUAAAGCAGGGCAAAAUGGAGUUUUCAGCAAAGAGGCUAAGAAAAUAUUGUAGAAACAUGUUUCAUGACAUCUAUAAUAUUACAUAUAAAUAUAUUUAUAACUGAAUCACUUUGUUGUACACUUAAAACUAAUACAUUGUAAAUUAACUAUAAGUAAAAAAAAAAAAGCCCUAGAUUUUUAAGUCAUUAGCAUGACUUGAUAUGAUCACUUUUUAGUGACUUUUUCACAUUCUCAUAAACUAGGCAUGUAGUCUAUUUGUAAUAACUACAUGAAGUCUUUUCUGCAUGGUAGUUUAUCUAGCUAUUUCUUUUGGCUGGGGUAGUGUUGGGGGACAGAGACUCGAGAUACAUAUUGGUUUUUUUAACAUAAAGUCCCCAAAAUGGAAUUAUUAUAAUGAAAGAAAUUAAUAGAUUUUUCACUGUUGUUAAACAUUUCCAGAUAGCUUUCUGGAGAGAACAAACGACUUUUUAAUGACUUCAGCCAUGUAUAAAUCAUAAAUCCUAAAUGUAAAUUAUGAAUACGUGAGCUUUUCCUAGUUUUCGGAACUGACAAGAUAAAAAAAGAUAAGAAAGUGCAGCUGGGAGUUCCUGUCAUGGCCCAGUGGUUAAUGAACCUGAUUGGCAUCCAUGAGGAUGUGGUUUGAUCCCUGCCCUCGCUUAGUGGGUUAAGUAUCUGGCAUUGCCGUGAGCUGUGGUGUAGGUUGCAGACACAGCUUGGAUCCCACAUUGUUAUGGCUGUGGUGUAGGCCAGCGGCUAUAGCUCUAAUUGGACCCCUAGCCUGGGAAUCUCCAUAU
rnacentral:lncRNA from 1 species